GUAAGGAAUAUUGGUCAAUGGACGAAAGUCUGAACCAGCCAUGCCGCGUGAAGGAUGAAGGCCCUCUGGGUUGUAAACUUCUUUUAUCUGGGACGAAAAACGGGUAUUCUUACUCACUUGACGGUACCAGAGGAAUAAGCACCGGCUAACUCCGUGCCAGCAGCCGCGGUAAUACGGAGGGUGCAAGCGUUAUCCGGAUUCACUGGGUUUAAAGGGUGCGUAGGUGGGUAUUUAAGUCAGUGGUGAAAUCUCCGAGCUUAACUCGGAAACUGCCAUUGAUACUAUUUACCUUGAAUGCCAUGGAGGAAAGUGAAAUAUGUAAUGUAGCGGUGAAAAGCUUAGAUAUGAAAUAGAAGACCAAUAGUGAAGGCAGCUUACUACGGGAUGAUUGACACUGAGACAAGAAAGCGUGGGGAGCAAACAGGAUUAGAUACCCGAGUAGUCC
rnacentral:rRNA from 1 species